UGGGACGUGGUGUAUGGUGCAGCGCUGCAUUCAACUAUGAAUUGGGCACCUGUGAAGCAGCAGGCCGGGGUUCGACUCCCCGCGUCCCAC